UGGAUCUUUGUGAUCCAAGGCAUUAUAUAUUGAGGGUGUGAUGUAGGGUUGUGGCCUUUAAAUUAGGCUGCCAGGGUGUAUGUCUAACAUUUUUGGGCCAUCUUGAUUUUUUUGUUCAGUUGUAAAAAAAAAAAAAAACAAGCAGUCAAGUUUGGACUGGGGUCUGUAUUUUUGUGGUUUGUACUUAUUUUGUUGUCUGUAUUUACUCUGGGUUGGUGUCUAAAAACACUUUGGGGAUGUGUCCCUGAUGUCUAAAUUCGCUUUAGAGUAUGAUGAAGGACCUGUGAUCACUAUUUGGGAAUAAGUUAGCAUUGUUUGGGUAUAUGUAAAUGGAUGGCACAGUGCAUUAUCUAACACACAUUCUGUGCAUUGAAAUCUCCCUGAUGUACAGGUAACUAGAGAAAAAUACUGAAGGAUGGUGUGUGUGUAUGCAGUCUAGAUGUGUGUGUAUAUACCAGAUGUAUGUGUGUGUGUAGAUGCUAUAUUCUGUACUUAAUACACGUGUAAGCCUGUCCUGUGUUAGUGACCCCACAACUAUUCCUCAUUAUCUGUAUGGCAGGUGUCCUGGAUUCAGCUCCUGCCAACCAUCAGACAGAGCCUGAGGAGUUCUUUGAAGUCACAAAGUCUCACCUCACGGACUGGCUGCAUUUCCUGUUGAUUUUCUGCUGCUGGCUCCACUCCUUCAUCGAUGUAUCCUGUUUUCAACAUUCCAUGGCACAAUGAAGAAAAACAGAAAGGAAAUUCAGCCAAAACAAAGACUUCAAGUCAAGCCAUUUUGUAUCCCUUUCCUGACUGCUAAAUUCAGAAGGAUUUGCAUCAUCUGCCAUGAAUAUACCAGCAAACAGAU